rnacentral:rRNA from 1 species
GACGAACGCUGGCGGCGUGCUUAACACAUGCAAGUCGAACGGAAAGGCCCUGCUUUUGUGGGGUGCUCGAGUGGCGAACGGGUGAGUAACACGUGAGUAACCUGCCCUUGACUUUGGGAUAACUUCAGGAAACUGGGGCUAAUACCGGAUAGGAGCUCCUGCUGCAUGGUGGGGGUUGGAAAGUUUCGGCGGUUGGGGAUGGACUCGCGGCUUAUCAGCUUGUUGGUGGGGUAGUGGCUUACCAAGGCUUUGACGGGUAGCCGGCCUGAGAGGGUGACCGGCCACAUUGGGACUGAGAUACGGCCCAGACUCCUACGGGAGGCAGCAGGGGGGGAAUAUUGCACAAUGGGCGGAAGCCUGAUGCAGCAACGCCGCGUGCGGGAUGACGGCCUUCGGGUUGUAAACCGCUUUCGCCUGUGACGAAGCGUGAGUGACGGUAAUGGGUAAAGAAGCACCGGCUAACUACGUG